UUGCUGCUAUUAUUUCUGUGGCGAUGCAGACUUGUGGUGACGAAGAGCAAGGCCGAGAAGGACUCCAACAAGCCCAAGCGCCCUCUGAGCGCCGUCUUAGUCCUCAUGGACAGCUUCAGGAAGGACUCCAACUUCAAGCAUGUCCCCAUGGUUGGCAAGGGCGGUGGUGAGAAGUGGAAGUAUCUUGAGUGAUGUUGAGAAGGCUCCCUAAUUGCCAAGGCCAAGUACACCAAGAAGA